CUGGGUGGGGGUUAGAGUGGGGGCUCAGGUGCUGUGUUAGUAUUGGUGGGGGUUUGGGGGUGCAGGCAGGUGCUGUGGGGUGGGUGGGGGUUAGAGUGGGGGCUCAGGUGCUGUGUUAGUAUUGGUGGGGGUUUGGGGGUGCAGGCAGGUGCUGUGGGGUGGGUGGGGGUUAGAGUGGGGGCUCAGGUGCUGUGUUAGUAUUGGUGGGGGUUUGGGGGUGCAGGCAGGUGCUGUGGGGUGGGUGGGGGUUAGAGUGGGGG